rnacentral:lncRNA from 1 species
CAGAGCCAGGUCUGCACUUCUGUUUGAAGCUCCUCAACAGUGGAAGUUGGGAGGGAGGGAUUUCUAGCCAGAAGAAAUAACAUGAACGAAGGUAUGGCUACACAGACCACCAAGAAGUAAGGAGAAAAACCAUCGUGGAAGUUACAGCCUUCAUCUCUAACAUGUUCCAAGGUUGCAUCUCUUUUUCGAUAGAAAUAAAACAACAGCGAUGAAAGCGUCAAAGGCUUGAGGUUGCAACCCAGGUGACCCUAAUUUCCUGCCAAGUUGAGUACAAG